rnacentral:tRNA from 1 species
AUUUCUAUAGUUGAAUUACAACGGUGGUUUUUCAUAUCAUUGGUCCUGGUUAAAGCCCGGGUAGAAAUU